rnacentral:rRNA from 1 species
AUCGAACUCUUUCUUUAGACCUAACACAUGCAAGUCGAACGGCAGCACAGUAAGAGCUUGCUCUUACGGGUGGCGAGUGGCGGACGGGUGAGGAAUACAUCGGAAUCUACUUUUUCGUGGGGGAUAACGUAGGGAAACUUACGCUAAUACCGCAUACGACCUACGGGUGAAAGCAGGGGAUCUUCGGACCUUGCGCGAUUGAAUGAGCCGAUGUCGGAUUAGCUAGUUGGCGGGGUAAAGGCCCACCAAGGCGACGAUCCGUAGCUGGUCUGAGAGGAUGAUCAGCCACACUGGAACUGAGACACGGUCCAGACUCCUACGGGAGGCAGCAGUGGGGAAGAUUGGACAAUGGGCGCAAGCCUGAUCCAGCCAUACCGCGUGGGUUAAGAAGGCCUUCGGGUUGUAAAGCCCUUUUGUUGGGAAAGAAAAGCAGCAGGUUAAUACCCCGCUGUUCUGACGGUACCCAAAGAAUAAGCACCGGCUAACUUCGUG